UACGUAGGGUGCAAGCGUUGUUCGGAAUCAUUGGGCGUAAAGCGCGUGUAGGUGGUUAAUUAAGUCGAUUGUGAAAGCCCUCGGCUCAACCGAGGAAGUGCAGUCGAAACUGACUAGCUAGAGGACGGCAGAGGAAGGUGGAAUUCCAAGUGUAGAGGUGAAAUUCGUAGAUAUUUGGAGGAAUACCUGUGGCGAAGGCGGCCUUCUGGACCGGUCCUGACACUGAGACGCGAAAGCGUGGGGAGCAAACAGG
rnacentral:rRNA from 1 species